CGUUCCCGGGUCUUGUACACACCGCCCGUCACACCAUGGGAGCGGGAUGUACCAGAAGUAGGUAGGCUAACCGUAAGGGGCCGCUUACCACGGUGCGUUUCGUGACUGGGGUG
rnacentral:rRNA from 1 species